GUGACAAGAACUCGCGCAAUAUGGCGUACGCCAAUUAUUCGAGUGCUUGAGAAAUAGUGAAGCGUACGCUUCCUAUCUCCUUUUCAUCCCAAGUUAUAUUAAGAGAAAAUGAUUUUGAAAUUGAAUAAUUUGAAAAGUGGUUUGAAUUUUGAAAUGCAUUUGAUUUUAAAGAGUGAUUUGAAAUUGUAUGAUUAUAGAUUUAAUCGGGCGACAAG
rnacentral:lncRNA from 1 species